AAAAUACUCCCUCUAUCCAGAAAUACUUGUCCGAAAAAUGAAUGUAUCUAGACAUAUUUUAGUUCUAGAUAUAUCCAUUUUUAUUUAUUUCUCCGACAAGUAUUUUUAGACGGAGGGAGUAGAAA
rfam:Triticum aestivum genome assembly, contig: Triticum_aestivum_CS42_TGACv1_scaffold_288223_4AL